GGAGUUACUAUCGCAAGGAAAGUGCUGCCUUUUUUGCCACAUGAACUGCAUGCAAAACCUCUCUAAAGGGAAGUUUACUUUUGACCCAAUGAACUUAUUCUUAAAUUGCGUGCACGGAAUUACAUGAGUAAAUAACCAACAUGAAAAAGUUGCCAUUGGGUCAAAAGUGGAUAAACGGCAUACCCAUUAGCUGACAAUGCACCCCACUUUAGUAUUAACUCUGUCUAACGUCAGACAAAUUUACACUCUGUAACGCCAGACGAUUUUACUUGUCAGUUGUAGAGUACUGUCAGUAUCUGCUAAUGUCUCUUAUUAACCGCCAUUGGCUGGCAAUGCGCCAUACUUUAGUAUUUACUGCCUAUCCACUACAUGUAGGAAGCAAUUUUGUAUUGGGGGAGCUGUUAGUCAGGGGCGAUUAUUAGGCAUCUAUAUCCCUCUCAAACUUCACAGAUUAUCGCUAGUUUACAAUUUUAUUUUUUUUUUUGGGGGGGGGCUGAAGACCACAGACCCCCGGUUGCUACGGCCCUGCUAUCAACGCCAGACAAUUUUACUCGUCAGUGCCAGUAAACGGCUUAAUUUCUCAUCACCCCAAUUUAAUUUUUUUAUUAUUAUUAUUUAUUAUUAUUAUUAUUAUUUAUAUAUAUUAUUAUUACUAUCCGGUAUAUAAAUAACACUCUUCCGACUCGCAAAAACCUUCAGAAAUGGGGAAUAUCACCAACAUCCGAAUGUUCGUUCUGUUUGAAUCCCGAAUCACUUCUCCACGUCGUCGCUGGAUGCAAGACCUACCUAAAAGAAGGACGUUUCACGUGGCGUCAUGAUUCGGUGCUUAUUUUCAUAGCAUCCAUACUAAAAUCUGUGAAUUAUUCUAACCUUUAUGCUGACCUUCCUGGCUAUAUCAGUCCAUCUGUUCUCACCGGAGAUGAAUUACUCCCUGAUCUUUUGAUAACACUUGAAAACAAAUGUAUUUAUAUACUUGAACUUACGGUCGGAUUUGAAUCUAAUCUCCUGACUAAUGCAACUCGAAAAAGACAAAAAUAUCAAGAUCUAAUUAAUGAACAGCUCAAAAAUUAUGAAAAAGUAAAAUUUGUAAAUUUAUCGAUUAGUUCAUUAGGAGUUUUCAGUCAUUCGUCGCGAGAUU